rnacentral:lncRNA from 1 species
GGUGAUUCGUCCUUGUGUGUUAGUUUAGUAGAAGGUAGAGAAGGAGUUGUUAGUUAGGGUGAUUUGUCGGUUGCUUGAUGUGUGAAAAUGGCUAUAUUAGCCAGUAAGUUGUAAGUAUAGACUCAUGGUUGUUUGUGGAAUUUGAAGGUAGUCUAAAUGUAUGAUUGGGUAAGUAAGCGUGAUGUGAGAAGCCGUAUAAGUAGAUAAGAUUGUAUGGGGUUAUAGUAUAAGAUUAAUGUCGAUCAUGUCUAUUAUGUGACUUUACCUCUUGACCUUCUUUUCCUUGGUAGUUGUAAACUAGUACUACUUGUGGGAAGGUAUGUAGUAGAUUUUUGAGGUAUAGUAGUAAUGUCAUAAAGGUGCUUUGGUCGUGGAUAGUAUCUAGAUAAAAUC